rnacentral:rRNA from 1 species
ACCCCUACGGGAGGCAGCAGUGGGGAAUAUUGGACAAUGGGCGAAAGCCUGAUCCAGCCAUGCCGCGUGUGUGAAGAAGGUCUUCGGAUUGUAAAGCACUUUAAGUUGGGAGGAAGGGCAGUAAGUUAAUACCUUGCUGUUUUGACGUUACCGACAGAAUAAGCACUGGCUAACUCUGUGCCAGCAGCCGCGGUAAU